GUGCUCUCUUCCGCAACACAUAUACUAAAAUUGGAAUGAUACAGAGAAGAUUAGCAUGGCCCCUGUGAAAGGAUGGCAUGCAAAUUCAUGAAGCAUUCCAUAUUUUU